GACGAACGCUGGCGGCGUGCUUAAUACAUGCAAGUCAACGAUUUUUAAGAUAGCAAUAUUUUAAAAAUAGUGGCGCACGGGUGAGUAACACGUAGAUAAUCUGCCUUUAGGUCUGACAUAACUCGUCGAAAGACGGGCUAAUAUCAGAUAAAACAAUAACUUGGCAUCAAGUAAUUGUCAAAGCUUCGGCGCCCAAAGAUGAGUCUGCGGACCAUUAGGUAGUUGGUGGAUUAACAGCCCACCAAGCCAACGAUGGAUAGCUGGUCUGAGAGGAAGAUCAGCCACACUGGAACUGAGACACGGUCCAGAUCCUACGGGAGGCAGCAGUAAGGAAUAUUGCUCAAUAGGGAGGAAAAUACCUGAAGCAGCAACGACCGCGU
rnacentral:rRNA from 1 species